CAGCCGCCACGGUAAUACGUAGGUGGCAAGCGUUGUCCGGAAUUAUUGGGCGUAAAGGGCUCGCAGGCGGUUUCUUAAGUCUGAUGUGAAAGCCCCCGGCUCAACCGGGGAGGGUCAUUGGAAACUGGGAAACUUGGGUGCAGAAGAGGAGAGUGGAAUCCCACGUGUAGCGGUGAAAUGCGUAGAGAUGUGGAGGAACACCAGUGGCGAAGGCGACUCUCUGGUCUGUAACUGACGCUGAGGAGCGAAAGCGUGGGGAGCGAACAGGAUUAGAUACCCCCGUAGUCCCUGUCUCUUAUAC
rnacentral:rRNA from 1 species